UAGUGCAAUGGUUAAGCACACUCUGCUGCUAACAGAAAGGUUGGUGGUUCGAACCCACC
rnacentral:tRNA from 1 species